AACGAACGCUGGCGGCAGGCUUAACACAUGCAAGUCGAACGGUUGUAGCAAUACAGCAGUGGCAGACGGGUGAGUAACACGUGGGAACCUUCCUAGGGGUACGGAACAACUCAGGGAAACUUGAGCUAAUACCGUAUACGUCCGUGAGGAGAAAGAUUUAUCGCCCUUAGACGGGCCCGCGUCGGAUUAGCUAGUUGGUGGGGUAACGGCCUACCAAGGCGACGAUCCGUAGCUGAUCUUAGAGGAUGAUCAGCCACACUGGGACUGAGACACGGCCCAGACUCCUACGGGAGGCAGCAGUGGGGAAUCUUGGACAAUGGGCGCAAGCCUGAUCCAGCCAGGCCGCGUGAGUGAAGAAGGUCUUCGGAUUGUAAAGCUCUUUUACCAGGGACGAUAAUGACGGUACCUGGAGAAUAAGCCCCGGCAGACUUCGUGCCAGCCGCCGCAGUAAAAC
rnacentral:rRNA from 1 species